rnacentral:rRNA from 1 species
AGUGAACGCUGGCGGUAGGCCUAACACAUGCAAGUCGAACGGCAGCACAGUAAGAGCUUGCUCUUACGGGUGGCGAGUGGCGGACGGGUGAGGAAUACAUCGGAAUCUACUUUUUCGUGGGGGAUAACGUAGGGAAACUUACGCUAAUACCGCAUACGACCUACGGGUGAAAGCAGGGGAUCUUCGGACCUUGCGCGAUUGAAUGAGCCGAUGUCGGAUUAGCUAGUUGGCGGGGUAAAGGCCCACCAAGGCGACGAUCCGUAGCUGGUCUGAGAGGAUGAUCAGCCACACUGGAACUGUGACACGGUCCAGACUCCUACGGGAGGCAGCAGUGGGGAAUAUUGGACAAUGGGCGCAAGCCUGAUCCAGCCAUACCGCGUGGGUGAAGAAGGCCUUCGGGUUGUAAAGCCCUUUUGUUGGGAAAGAAAAGCAGCAGGUUAAUACCCCGCUGUUCUGACGGUACCCAAAGAGUAAGCACCGGCUAACUUCGUG